UCAAAUGAAUUGACGGGGAGCACCACAACGGGUGGAGCUCGCGGUUUAAUUUGGAUUCAACGCCGAAAUCUUACCGGGACGACAGCAAUAUGAAGGCCAGGCUGAAGACUUUGCCGGAUUAGCUGAGAGGUGGUGCAUGGCCGUCGUCAGUUCGUACUGUGAAGCAUCCUGUUAAGUCAGGCAACGAGCAAGACCCACGCCCACAGUUGCCAGCGUACUCUCUGGAGUGACGGGUACACUGUGGGGACCGCCGCUGCUAAAGCGGAGGAAGGAAUGGGCAACGGUAGGUCAGUAUGCCCCGAAUAUCCCGGGCUACACGCGAGCUACAAUGGUUGGUACAAUGGGUAUCUACCCCGAAAGGGGACGGGAAUCUCCUAAAACCAAUCUUAGUUCGGAUUGAGGGCUGCAACUCGCCCUCAUGAAGCUGGAAUCCGUAGUAAUCGCGUUUCAACAGAACGCGGUGAAUACGUCCCUGCUCCUU
rnacentral:rRNA from 1 species